rnacentral:rRNA from 1 species
AACGAACGCUGGCGGCAGGCCUAACACAUGCAAGUCGAGCGCGCCCUUCGGGGUGGGCGGCGGACUGGUGAGUAACGCGUGGGAACGUGCCCUUUUCUCCGGAAUGGCCUCGGGAAACUGAGAGUAAUACCGUAUACGCCCUUUGGGGGAAAGAUUUGUCGGAAAAGGAUCGGCCCGCGUUGGAUUAGGUAGUUGGUGGGGUAAUGGCCUACCAAUCCGACGAUCCAUAGCUGGUUUGAGAGGAUGAGCAGCCACACUGGGACUGAGACACGGCGCAGACUCCUGCGGGAGGCAGCAGUGGGGAAUCUUAGACAAUGGGGGCAACCCUGAUCUAGCCAUGCCGCGUGAGUGAUGAAGGCCUUAGGGUUGUAAAGCUAUUUCAGCUGGGAAGAUAAUGACGGUACCAGCAGAAGAAGCCCCGGCUAACUCCGUG